rnacentral:lncRNA from 1 species
AAAGUCGAUUUCGGUGCAUUUUUCGACGAAAUUCGCCGAAAGAACGCGGUUUCAGUUCCGAUUUCUUCCGAUGUGGUUUGUUUAUCCUGUGAAUUGUCGCUGAGCCUUGUUGGCUAGUCACCAUCAUCAUUUUAUGGGUUCGGUGAUGAUGGGUGAGCGACGGUGGGUUCUGGUGUCGAAAUAGACGCUUUCGGGAAUCCAUAUUCGUACAAUUAUUCGGCGAUAAUUGUGUAGUGGUGUUAUCUUGUGUUUGCUGCCAAGACAUCCAAAUUGGUGUGUUUUGUGGCAGCGGGUGACUCGUGGUACGAGUCGGUGAGUUUUGGGACACUUAGUGGGUCCCGACGGUGUCCCGGUGUGGUUUUCGAGACUUCCGGUGAGUUACGGUGAUCGGUUUUGGGAAACCGAUUACGGGGAUCUUGUGUGGGGGGUUUGUGAGUCUCGUGCUUUGGGUUAGUGGUUUGGAUACUGACCUGGUGGAUCUUCUUAGGUCCGGUAGACUCUGUGCGUACCAAG